CCUACGGGAGGCAGCAGUCGAGGAUCUUCGGCAAUGGACGAAAGUCUGACCGAGCAACGCCGCGUGUGCGAUGAAGGCCUUCGGGUUGUAAAGCACUGUCGAGGGGAAACAAGCCGUAAGGUUGAGUGACCCCUGGAGGAAGCACGGGCUAAGUUCGUGCCAGCAGCCGCGGUAAGACGAACCGUGCAAACGUUAUUCGGAAUCACUGGGCUUAAAGGGCGCGUAGGCGGGUAAUCAAGUCAAUGGUGAAAUCCUCCAGCUUAACUGGAGAAGUGCCUUUGAUACUGGUUGUCUAGAGGGAGGUAGGGGCAUGUGGAACUUCAGGUGGAGCGGUGAAAUGCGUAGAUAUCUGAAGGAACGCCAGUGGCGAAAGCGAUGUGCUGGACCUCUUCUGACGCUGAGGCGCGAAAGCUAGGGGAUCAAACGGGGAUUAGAUACCCCGGUAGUCCUAGCCCUAAACUAUGGGUACUAGAUUGUGGUACGUUACUAUAGGUUCGUACACGUACGAAGACGAAAGUAAGUUAACGUACCCGUACCGUCGGGUAGGUAGUGGUCGCGAGACGUGAACGUACGAAAGGAAAGUUAAGUACGGCGUUGAGACGUUGCCGAACGGACGACGACGAGGGAGGAGG
rnacentral:rRNA from 1 species